CGGGGACGUAGCUCAGGGGUAGAGCGGUUGAGGAAAACAAAGUAAGUAUACGUGGAAUAAUGUACAUAAAAAGCGUGAACACCUAAUUUCAAAACACAGGUCAUUGGUUCGAUUCCAAUCUCUCCAC
rnacentral:tRNA from 1 species